CCGUGUAGGCCGGCGGGCACUGGCACCGCACGUUGUUGAUGCAGGUCCCGCCGUUCUGGCAGUGCAGGAGCUCGUUGUCACACACGUUCGCUGCAAGACACCGGGGGAAGGGGGACAGAACAGAGAGCAGCCCUUGGCAGUGAUGGCAAUGGAAACCUGACUGAUCAUAUCCCAGCUCCCUGAGAACUCUGUAUUCCUUGACAUUGACUCCUAUGGCAAGAGGGGAUUUGCAACACAUCUGUGCUGCUGCCUGCAUGUGCUAGUGGAGGGCCAGGAAAGGCUCUCAUUCCAGGAUGGGCUUGAUUAACUACAAAAAAGGACCUGUGGCAGGUGUGAUUUUUAUAAAGAUUUCAAGGAGAUGGAGAAGAACUAGAGACUGCAAAUCAGAACUUCCUCAG